GCCCGGUUAGCUCAGUUGGUAGAGCAUCAGACUUUUAAUCUGAGGGCCAUGGGUUCGAGUCCCAUCGGGCU
rnacentral:tRNA from 1 species